rnacentral:rRNA from 1 species
UACGUAGGGUGCGAGCGUUAAUCGGAAUUACUGGGCGUAAAGCGUGCGCAGGCGGUUCGUUAAGUCAGAUGUGAAAGCCCCGGGCUCAACCUGGGAACUGCAUUUGAAACUGGCGGGCUUGAGUAUGGCAGAGGGGGGUGGAAUUCCGCGUGUAGCAGUGAAAUGCGUAGAGAUGCGGAGGAACACCGAUGGCGAAGGCAGCCCCCUGGGCCAAUACUGACGCUGAGGAGCGAAAGCCAGGGGAGCUAACGGG